rnacentral:rRNA from 1 species
CAAACCAAAGCUGGCGACCGGCGCACGGGUGAGUAACACGUAUCCAACCUGCCUCAUACUCGGGGAUAGCCUUUCGAAAGAAAGAUUAAUAUCCGAUAGCAUAUAUUUCUCGCAUGGGUUUUAUAUUAAAGAAAUUCGGUAUGAGAUGGGGAUGCGUUCCAUUAGUUUGUUGGGGGGGUAACGGCCCACCAAGACUACGAUGGAUAGGGGUUCUGAGAGGAAGGUCCCCCACAUUGGAACUUAGACACGGUCCAA